rnacentral:rRNA from 1 species
UACGGAGGGUGCAAGCGUUAUCCGGAUUCACUGGGCUUAAAGGGUGCGUAGGUGGUCAGUUAAGUCAGUGGUGAAAUCUCCGGGCUCAACCCGGAAACUGCCAUUGAUACUAUCUGUCUUGAAUAUCGUGGAGGUAAGCGGAAUAUGUCAUGUAGCGGUGAAAUGCUUAGAUAUGACAUAGAACACCAAUUGCGAAGGCAGCUUACUACCCGAAUAUUGACACUGAGGCACGAAAGCGUGGGGAUCAAACAGG